UCUGACCUCAAAUCAGGUAGGAUUACCCGCUGAACUUAAGCAUAUCAAUAAGCGGAGGAAAAGAAACUAACAAGGAUUCCCUUAGUAACUGCGAGUGAAGUGGGAAAAGCUCAAAUUUAAAAUCUGGCAGUCUGAUUUUAUAUCUUUGGCUGUCCGAGUUGUAAUCUAGAGAAGUGCUACCUGUACUGGACCAUGUAUAAGUCUCCUGGGAUGGAGCAUCAUAGAGGGUGAGAAUCCCGUCUUUGACAUGGACUGCCAGUGUGUUGUGGUGUACUUUCAAAGAGUCGAGUUGUUUGGGAAUGCAGCUCUAAAUGGGUGGUAAACUCCAUCUAAAGCUAAAUAUUGGCGAGAGACCGAUAGCGAACAAGUACCGUGAGGGAAAGAUGAAAAGUACUUUGGAAAGAGAGUUAAACAGUAUGUGAAAUUGUUGAAAGGGAAACAYUUGAUGUCAGUUGUGUUAGCUAGGGAUCAGCCSAGCUUUUUUUGCUAGGUGAACUUCCUGGUCUGACAGGCCAACAUCAGUUUUGACUGGCAGAAAAAGGCAGAAGGAAUGUGGCACCUUUUUUGGUGUGUUAUASCCCUUC
rnacentral:rRNA from 1 species